GUAAAACAGUCACUCAGUGAACGACUGCCAUCGUUCAUUAGGUCUAUUUUUCGUAAACGUCGUGGUUCGUACGACGUAAAUAUUGCAGGGACAGCAAAGCAAUCUGGAAACCCAUCAACUCCUCAUGCCUCCUCGACAUAUCCAGCGUAGCCAGCGAACCAAUCAUGGCCAGUCUGCUAAAUAAUCAUCAUGAGAUCAGUAACUAGUUAGAAAACAGCAGCCAACUAGGACCGAUGACCAGCUAGGAGUUGUUGAAUCAUCCUGUCAAAUAUGAUCAGGC